rnacentral:lncRNA from 13 species
GUAAUAUAAUCAUUUUCUGAUUUUCUACUGAUUAAGUUUCUUAAUUCUUUUCUCCAAAAAGUUAGUCUCUGAUUUAAAACAUAUAGAUAAAGUGAAUUCGAACAUCACUUGCUUUUACAAUAAAGCUUUUUUCUUAUAAGUGUAUUUGCAAUGAAAAAAGAUGAUAGUCCCAUGAAAUGAAAACGGUGAAUAAGGAAAUAAAUUCAUUCUAAUUCUUUAACUUUUGCUGCAUUUGUUUUGUUAUAUGCAGUCGAAUUUUAUGUUAUAUGUCAUAUAACAAAAUCAGAGCUGGGUAGCUUCUUUGAGACAAGAAUCAAUAAAUAAGUGGACUAUUACAUCAUAAGAAAUGAUGACAAUUAUAUUAUUGCAAUGAGUAAUUAUUUAGAACACCUCAUCGUCAAUUUUGAUGAAAUUCUCAUUCAACGCACUUUCUACACUAACUAAAAGAAUCUGGCCAAAAGAAGUGUCGCUCUGCCCUGUAAAUCGAGAUAUUAAUUGUUAAAGUUGAUGUUUAUAUAGGUUAGAAAAUCUGUCAUAUUGAUGAAGUGCAUGCCAUAUGGUCACGUUCUGUAUUUGCGCAUGACAAAAGUGCACGAAUUUGAAACAUAUGUGUGAAUAAAUAUUCUCUGCUGUAGAAACACAUUAUAUUUUCUUUAUGUAAUUUUUGUAUUCUUAAAACAGAAAUUUUGUAUUUUUAAAACAAAGAAUUUGAAGCAAUGUUUUAAAGCAAAGAAUAGUUUGUUAUUUAAUUAUUUUUUUGUUAUUUAAUUAUAGAAGAUUUAACUCAUAUAUUCAUUUAUUAUCAUUUAAAUCACGGCGAUACAUUAUAUUUUACAAGUGCAUGUUUCAAAUUUGUGCUUUUUUCGCAUGUGCAUAUGGCUAGAGGCUAGAGACUAGAGAGAAUGCACGUGUAGUCACAAAACAUGGGCGCUACAUUCAUCCGUAUGACAAAUUUCCUAACCUAACCAAAAUAAUUAGCAACUUUGAUGAUUAAUAUCUCGUAUUGCGGGGCAGAACGACGCUUAUUUCCAACAAAUUUUUUUGUUUCAUGCCAAAACGCAUCGAAUGAAUCUAAUUUUAUCAAAAUUGGAGGAAAGAUCGUGGAAGUAUAAGAUGUAAUAACACGGUUAUAGAUUGUCUCUAAUGGAGUCCUCUUAUCAGUCAGAUCAUCCAAUUUAAGGGUUAUAGCCAUGAAUAUUGCAAUCGGAGGAUAGUUCAACUUGGGAAGAAUUGAUAUGAACGAGGGCAUAAACAUAACAGCAGGAAAUGCCUUAUAGAAAUCUUGAAAUGAAUGCCUUAUGAAGAGGGAAGAGCAAUCUAAACCUUGCUCAAACAUGUCUAAUGUUAUGCUAGGAAAAGAAUAUAUUAUUCGUUGGAAGGAUGAAUCACAUCUAUUGUGGGAAAUUCUCCCAGAAGAGAAACUUCGAGAAUGCUGCGAUUUGGACCUUUUUCUUUCAGUAUACGAAUCAAUCGACAUAAUGAACGCAUAUCAUGCUCAGUAUAUGUUCCUAUCUUCUCCAUUUUUAUAUUAAACUAACGUAUAGCAAGAUUUUGUACAAAUUAAUUGGCACCAGACGAAUAUGCAUAAUUCGAUGUUUGAGAACGAGUUUCAGAAUCUUCAAGUGUACGAGACAGUGAGAAUUAGUUUCUACAAUUCUCUAAAUACCUAAAAUAUACGUUUUAAAGAAAUCUGUAGUAGGGCAUUAUAAUGUAUACUUGAGUAACUAUAUAUGUAUAUCUAUGCCGUAUACAUACCUUAGAUUUGCAGAAAUUAUUUUACCGAAAAUAUCUUUCGCGUUUCGAAAAGUUUGUUAAAGUUAUUUCGUUCUCAAGAGACUGGCACUCUUUCUAAUAAACGUUGCUCCGUAAAGUGUUUCUAUAACUAUGGCUCCACAAAGAAAAGGUCAUAAAUGUAUAGCUAGGAUACAGACCGUUAAUGUUACAAAAAUUUUGAAACAUUGGACCAAUUUCUUUGAUUGGUCAAUUUGUAAAAUUCUUUGUUCUGAUUGGUUAAGCAAAUGCUUUGUCUAGUUCAGGGUUCCAAAAAAUGCACAUUUUGGCCGGUAUUUCGGAUUUUCAGGUAGCAUUAUUUUCUUUACCUUACCUUACCUUACCAUUCUGCAGCAUUCUAAUUGUCCAUUAACGUUUGCAUUACGGGGGAAGUAGUAAGGGAGCGCUACCUGAAAAUCGGUCAAAAUAUACAUUUUUUUGCCAAUCUUUGGUCUAGUUUAAUUAACCGAAGCCUUAGACUAUACCUAUUACAAGUAACGCAUAAAAUACGCCGGAUAUUUCAUUCGCUCGUUCAUAUAUUUUGUUUUAUAAAUGUGAGAUUGAAGAAAUAGAAAGACUGAACAAAUCUUUCUGAUUAAUUUGUAAUUUUAGUUUAAUAAAAACACAAUCUAAGAA